GAGGAUGGUUGUUUAGUCAGUUUGAACUGGACUAGGAAUGGCAAACAGGCAAGGUGAUGGGUAUAGAUGUGACUUAACCUAUUGCAGAACUUCAUUGCUACAACCUGUCCUGUAAAAUGCCUUCAUCACGUAUCACUUGAAUUUGUCAUCUAUUGAUUAGGCCCUAGCCCUAUAACUUAGGUGAAGUGAAAUGUAAGUUUAUGGCUGUUGAGAAUGGAAUAUUACAAUUUGUCAUAUUUAUAUUUACACUAGUGGAGUUGGUUUGUCCAUCUC
rnacentral:misc_RNA from 1 species